rnacentral:rRNA from 1 species
AGAGUUUGAUUCUGGCUCAGGAUGAACGCUGGCGGCGUGCCUAACACAUGCAAGUCGAACGGGGUUGACUUACGGAAGUUUUCGGAUGGAAGUGAGUCAACUUAGUGGCGGACGGGUGAGUAACGCGUGGGCAACCUGCCCCAUGCCGGGGGAUACCGCCUGGAAACAGGCGCUAAUACCGCAUAAGCGCAUACAGCCGCAUGGCAGUAUGCGGAAAGCUCCGGCGGCAUGGGAUGGGCCCGCGCCCGAUUAGCCAGUUGGCGGGGUAACGGCCCACCAAAGCGACGAUCGGUAGCCGGCCUGAGAGGGCGGACGGCCACAUUGGGACUGAGACACGGCCCAAACUCCUACGGGAGGCAGCAGUGGGGAACACUGCACAAUGGGGGAAACCCUGAUGCAGCAACGCCGCGUGGGUGAAGGAGCGUUUCGGCGCGUAAAGCCCUGUCAUCGGGGAAGAAGAAAGACGGUACCCGACCAAGAAGCCCCGGCUAAC